CGCUCGGUGCCGGCGCGGGGCUCCAGCGCGGAUCAGGAGCCGCCCGGGAACGGCGGGAGGCAUUUGGAAGAGUUCGUGCGAGCGUGGUGCUGUCCCUUGCAAUUCCUCAGAGGUUGAAGGUCUGAUGCAGUCCCCUGUGAAAAAACACUGCUGUGUUGUCUACACCUACUUCAGAUAGGAACAUAUUUUUGAGAAGUCAAGGAGUUCACUCAAACUAAGAAAGGUAGACGUUUGUCAAGAAUUCAUUCCACUUACAUGAAGAUUCACAUCGUAAGUACACUCAUCUUCAGAAUUUUGGCCAAAGUGAUUGAAGUUCGAGAAGUUAACAGUUGUGUGUACAACAGAGACGGAAGCCAAUCUUCUAGUAACAUCCUAAGAGACAUUUUUAUGAACUUCAGAGCAGGAAGUAAUCUUUCAUCAGAAGCCAGAUGAAAUGCGUGACCCUAUUUUCCUUCCUGUUUCACGCCCUAGGUGGUAAGAUAAAAACCCAGCUGGGAUUUGUCUCCUGCCUCCCCAGGUGAUCGGGAAAUUGCUGGAGGGAGGUUCCUGGGCUGACUCAGAGCUUCAAAGCACGGUUCCGAAGGGUGGUACCAGCACGCUCCUCAGAGCUACUGCACUGGGGAGCCAGUCAGGACCACCCGCUGUUGUUGCGCGGAGGCUGCUGGUGUCACGGUACCCGCGGUACCCCGGGGGAGCGCAGAGCAGCCGGGGCCGCCCGACACCCGCUGGGGCAUCGGCACAAGGGGCCGGGGCUCCGGGCACUGCAGCGGCCGCGAGCUGCCCGCUCCGGGAGGCGCGGGUGGACCGGCGGCCCCAGGGC